GAUGAAGAACGCAGCGAAAUGCGAUACUUGGUGUGAGUUGCAGAAUCCCGUGAACCAUCGAGUCUUUGAACGCAAGUUGCGCCUCAAGCCAUUAGGUUGAGGGCACGUCUGCCUGGGCGUCACAUAUCGUUGCCUGAUGCCAGUUUCCUCGUGAUGGGUGACUGUGCAGGGCGAAUGAUGGCUUCCCGUGAGCAUUGUUGCCUCAUGGUUGGUUGAAAAUUGAGUCCUUGGUAGGGAGCGCCGUGAUAGAUGGUGGUUGAGUGACGAACGAGACCCAAUCAUGUGAGAGCCCUACCGAAUUUGGCCUUCAUGACCCACAUGCGUCUUUGGAACGCUCAUGACGAGACCUCAGGUCAGGCGGGGCUACCCGCUGAGUUUAAGCAUAUCAAUAAGCGGAGGA
rnacentral:misc_RNA from 1 species